CCCGCCCUCCGGGAUGCGGCUGGGCGAGAGGCAGUCCCUGGCUGGUGCGGCAGGCACGACCUCCCCCCUCACCUCACAUGCCGCGAGCGUCGAGUGCCGGGUCCUAAAGUCUCCUCUACAACCUCUGGGCUCGAAAUCUGGACACAGAUCAACAAAGGGGAGCUGGGCACGGUGGUGCAUGCCUGUAAUUGCAGCAGCUUGGGAGGCUGAGGCAGGAGGAUCAGGAGUUCAAAGCCAGCCUCAGCAAAAGCAAGAUGGGAUCUUGACGUUGUCCAGACUGGUCUUGAAGUUCUGGGCUCAAGGAAUCCUCCCACCUCAGCCUUUCAAGUAGCUGGGACUACCAGUGUGCACCACCACAGCUGGCUAGCAUGGUUUAAAUAAAUAAUGUAACAUUUAAAUGAAAAAUA